AGAGCGAACGCUGGCGGCAGGCUUAACACAUGCAAGUCGAGCGGGCGUAGCAAUACGUCAGCGGCAGACGGGUGAGUAACGCGUGGGAACGUACCUUUUGGUUCGGAACAACCCAGGGAAACUUGGGCUAAUACCGGAUAAGCCCUUACGGGGAAAGAUUUAUCGCCGAAAGAUCGGCCCGCGUCUGAUUAGCUAGUUGGUGGGGUAAUGGCCCACCAAGGCGACGAUCAGUAGCUGGUCUGAGAGGAUGAUCAGCCACAUUGGGACUGAGACACGGCCCAAACUCCUACGGGAGGCAGCAGUGGGGAAUAUUGGACAAUGGGCGCAAGCCUGAUCCAGCCAUGCCGCGUGAGUGAUGAAGGCCCUAGGGUUGUAAAGCCCUUUCGGCGGGGAAGAUAAUGACGGUACCCGCAGAAGAAGCCCCGGCUAACUUCGUGCCAGCAGCCGC
rnacentral:rRNA from 1 species